GGAGAUAGUACUGUUGCUGGCCUUAUGAAUAUAAGGUAUGUGCACGUACUGUUUCUAAUCUAUUCAUCCACCUGUGCAUUUAUUGUAGGAGGUCUUUGAAAGGUUGACUUGUCUUGUACAAUGUUGGCUUGAAAAGGGCUUUCUAUGUUUUCACAAACCUAUUGAAGUAUGUUUUAGAAUGUCUUUUAUUGGGACUUUAUUGGCCCUUUAAACUUAUACAACUUUUAGCAACGGAUCUCUUGGCUCUCCCAUCGAUGAAGAACGCAGCGAAAUGCGAUAAGUAAUGUGAAUUGCAGAAUUCAGUGAAUCAUCGAAUCUUUGAACGCACCUUGCGCCCUCUGGUAUUCCGGAGGGCAUGCCUGUUUGAGUGUCAUUAAAUUCUCAACUUCAAAAGCUUUUAUUAGCCUAUUGAAGCUUGGAUGUGGGAGCUUGCUGGCAUCUUAGAUGAUCGGCUCUCCUUAAAUUUAUUAGUGGAAAUCUCUUUGUUGGAGUGAUCCUUGGUGUGAUAAUUAUCUACGCUUUGGAUGGUCCAAUGUUUCCAUUGAGAUUGACUCAGUACAAUGCCUUUGGUGUUUCUGGGUUUUGUAGUAUUGCGACUAGUUGCUUUACUUGGGUCUCAGAGGAAAAGGGAAGUUUUGCUCUCUAACUGUCUAUGUAUUAUGGACAACUUAUUGACUAUUUGACCUCAAAUCAGGUAGGACUACCCGCUGAACUUAAGCAUAUCAAUAAGCGGAGGAAAAGAAACUAACAAGGAUUCCCCUAGUAACUGCGAGUGAAGAGGGAAAAGCUCAAAUUUAAAAUCUGGCAGUCUUUGAUUGUCCGAGUGUAAUAGAGA
rnacentral:rRNA from 1 species